CGGUCAUGAUCGACAGUCUGUCCGAGCAUCGCCGCGGGAGUGAGGAGCUUUUCCGAUCGGUAAAGCUCUGUUGUAGAGACGACAACGAUCGAGAGUACUUUCAUGCCAUGCCGUAUCUAGACCAAGAAAGCCACGGCUUAACUACGUGCCAGCACCCGCGGUAAUACGUAGGUGGCAAGCCGUUGUCCGGAUUUAUUGGGCGUAAAGCGAGCGCGGGCGGUUUCUUAAGUCUGAUGUGAAAGCCCCCGGGCUCAACCCGGGGAGGUUCAUUGGAAACUGGGAGACUUGAGUGCAGAAGAGGAGAGUGGAAUUCCCAUGUGUAGCGGUGAAAUGCGUAGAUAUAUGGAGGAACACCAGUGGCGAAGGCGGUUCUCUGGUCUGUAACUGACGCUGAGGCUCGAAAGCGUGGGGAGCAAACAGGAUUAGAUACCCUGGUAGUCCACGCCGUAAACGAUGAGUGUUAAGUGUUGGAGGGUUUCCGCCCUUCAGUGCUGCAGUUAACGCAUUAACCACUCCCCUUGGGGAGUCCGCCCCCAAGGUUGAAUUUCAAAGGAAUUGACGGGGGCCCCCCCAAGCGGUGGACCAUGUGGUUUAAUUGGAAGCAACGCGAAGACCCUUCCCAGUUCUUGCCAUCCUUUGACCACUCUAGAGAUAGAGCUUCCCCUUCGGGGGCAAAGUGCCAGGUGGUGCAUGGUGGUCGUCAGUUCGUGUCGUGAGAUGUUGGGUUAAUUCCCGCACCGAGCGCAACCCUUAUUGUUAGUUGCCACCAUUCAGUUGGGCACUCUACCAAGACUGCCGGUGACAACCCGGAGGAAGGUGGGGAUGACGUCAAAUCAUCAUGCCCCUUAUGCCCUGGGCUACCCACGUGCUCCAAUGGGAAGUCCAACGAGUUGCGAAGUCGGGAGGCUAAGCUAAUCUCUUAAAGCUUCUUUCAGUUCGGAUUGCAGGCUGCAACUCCCCUCCAGGAAGCCGGAAUCGUUAGUAAUCGGGGAUCASCCCCCGGCGGUGAAUCCGUUCCCGGCCCUGGUACCCACCSCCCGUCCCCCCCCGAGAGUUGGUACAACCCGAAGUCGGUGAGGUCCCCUUUGGAGCCAGCCGCCUAACGGUGA
rnacentral:rRNA from 1 species